rnacentral:rRNA from 1 species
UUGCACGCUGGCGGCAUGCCUUACACAUGCAAGUCGCACGGCAGCACGGGUGCUUGCACCUGGUGGCGAGUGGCGAACGGGUGAGUAAUACAUCGGAACAUGUCCAGUAGUGGGGGAUAGCCCGGCGAAAGCCGGAUUAAUACCGCAUACGAUCUACGGAUGAAAGCGGGGGACCUUCGGGCCUCGCGCUAUAGGGUUGGCCGAUGGCUGAUUAGCUAGUUGGUGGGGUAAAGGCCUACCAAGGCGACGAUCAGUAGCUGGUCUGAGAGGACGACCAGCCACACUGGGACUGAGACACGGCCCAGACUCCUACGGGAGGCAGCAGUGGGGAAUUUUGGACAAUGGGCGAAAGCCUGAUCCAGCAAUGCCGCGUGUGUGAAGAAGGCCUUCGGGUUGUAAAGCACUUUUGUCCGGAAAGAAAUCCUUGGCUCUAAUACAGUCGGGGGAUGACGGUACCGGAAGAAUAAGCACCGGCUAACUACGUG